rnacentral:rRNA from 1 species
CCUACGGGUGACAGCAGUGAGGAAUAUUGGUCAAUGGACGAGAGUCUGAACCAGCCAAGUAGCGUGAAGGAUGACUGCCCUAUGGGUUGUAAACUUCUUUUAUAUGGGAAUAAAACAGGGUAUGUAUACCCUCUUGUAUGUACCAUAUGAAUAAGGAUCGGCUAACUCCGUGCCAGCAGCCGCGGUAAUACGGAGGAUCCGAGCGUUAUCCGGAUUAAUUGGGUUUAAAGGGAGCGUAGGCGGAUUGUUAAGUCAGGUGUGAAAGUUUGCGGCUCAACCGUAAAAUAGCAGUUGAAACUGGCAGUCUUGAGUACAGGAGAGGUGUGCGGAAUGCGUGGUGUAGCGGUGAAAUGCUUAGAUAUCACGAAGAACUCCGAUUGCGAAGGCAGCUCACUGGCCUGCAACUGACGCUGAUGCUCGAAAGUGUGGGUAUCAAACAGGAUUAGAUACCCGUGUAGUC